rnacentral:rRNA from 1 species
UACGUAGGGGGCUAGCGUUGUCCGGAAUCAUUGGGCGUAAAGGGCGCGUAGGUGGCCCGGUCAGUCCGUGGUGAAAGCGCGGGGCUCAACCCUGCGUCGGCCAUGGAUACUGCCGCGGCCUGGAGCACUGUAGAGGCAGGCGGAAUCCGGGUGUAGCGGUGGAAUGCGUAGAGAGUCCGGAAGAACACCGGUGGCGAAGGCGGCCUGCUGGGCA